AGGAUUAACGCUGGCGGCGUGCCUGACACAUGCAAGUCGAACGAGGCCGCAAGGCCGAGUGGCGGACGGGUGAGUAACACGUGACCAACCAACCUCGAAGUUGGGAAUAGCUCUGCGAAAGUAGGGGUAAUACCGAAUGUGGCCCAGGGCGGGCAUCCGCCUUGGUCUAAAGAUUCAUCGCUUCGAGACGGGGUCGCGGCCUAUUAGCUUGUUGGUGGGGUAACGCUCACCAAGGCGAUGAUGGGUAGCUGGUCUGAGAGGACGACCAGCCACACUGGGACUGAGACACGGCCCAGACUCCUACGGGAGGCAGCAGUGAGGAAUCUUCCGCAAUGGGCGAAAAGCCUGACGGAGCAACGCCGCGUGUGGGAUGAAGGCUCUAGGGUUGUAAACCACUGUCGGAGGGGACGAUCGUGACGGUACCCUCCAAGAAAGCCCCGGCUAACUACGUGCCAGCAGCCGC
rnacentral:rRNA from 1 species